rnacentral:rRNA from 1 species
UACGAAGGGGGCUAGCGUUGUUCGGAUUUACUGGGCGUAAAGCGCACGUAGGCGGGUUGUUAAGUCAGGGGUGAAAUCCUGGAGCUCAACUCCAGAACUGCCUUUGAUACUGGCAACCUAGAGGCUGGAAGAGGUUAGUGGAAUUCCCAGUGUAGAGGUGAAAUUCGUAGAUAUUGGGAAGAACACCAGUGGCGAAGGCGACUGACUGGACAAGUAUUGACGCUGAGGUGCGAAAGCGUGGGGAGCAAACAGG